rnacentral:rRNA from 1 species
GAAACCAACAGGGAUUGCCUCAGUAACGGCGAGUGAAGCGGCAAAAGCUCAAAUUUGAAACCCUCGGGAUUGUAAUUUGAAGAUUUGGCAUUGGAGAAAGCUAACCCAAGUUGCUUGGAAUAGUACGUCAUAGAGGGUGACAACCCCGUCUGGCUAACCGUUCUCCAUGUAUUGCCUUAUCAAAGAGUCGAGUUGUUUGGGAAUGCAGCUCAAAGUGGGUGGUAAACUCCAUCUAAAGCUAAAUACUGGUGAGAGACCGAUAGCGAACAAGUACUGUGAAGGAAAGGUGAAAAGAACUUUGAAAAGAGAGUGAAAUAGUAUGUGAAAUUGUUGAUAGGGAAGGAAAUGAGUGGAGAGUGGCCGAGGUUUCAGCCGCCCCUCGUGGGCGGUGUACUGCCGACGCCGAGUCAUCGAUAGCGAGACGAGGGUUACAAAUGGGAGCGCCUUCGGGCGUUCUCCCCUAACCCUCCACACUGCCACCGACGA